rnacentral:rRNA from 1 species
UACAGAGGGUGCAAGCGUUGUUCGGAAUUAUUGGGCGUAAAGAGCUCGUAGGCGGUCUGUCACGUCGGCUGUGAAAUCCCGAGGCUCAACCUCGGGUCUGCAGUCGAUACGGGCAAACUAGAGUAUUGCAGGGGAGACUGGAAUUCCUGGUGUAGCGGUGAAAUGCGCAGAUAUCAGGAGGAACACCGGUGGCGAAGGCGGGUCUCUGGGCAAAUACUGACGCUGAGGAGCGAAAGCGUGGGGAGCAAACAGG